rnacentral:rRNA from 1 species
GACGAACGCUGGCGGCGUGCUUAACACAUGCAAGUCGAACGGUAAGGCCCUUCGGGGUACGCGAGUGGCGAACGGGUGAGUAACACGUGGGUGAUCUGCCCUGCACUUCGGGAUAAGCCUGGGAAACUGGGUCUAAUACCGGAUAGGACUCCUGCCUGCAUGGGUGGGGGUGGAAAGCUUUUGUGGUGUGGGAUGGGCCCGCGGCCUAUCAGCUUGUUGGUGGGGUGAUGGCCUACCAAGGCGACGACGGGUAGCCGGCCUGAGAGGGUGACCGGCCACACUGGGACUGAGAUACGGCCCAGACUCCUACGGGAGGCAGCAGUGGGGAAUAUUGCACAAUGGGCGCAAGCCUGAUGCAGCGACGCCGCGUGAGGGAUGACGGCCUUCGGGUUGUGAACCUCUUUCAGCACAGACGAAGCGCAAGUGACGGUAUGUGCAGAAGAAGGACCGGCCAACUACGUGCCAGCCGCCGCCGUAA